UACGUAGGGUGCAAGCGUUAAUCGGAAUUACUGGGCGUAAAGCGUGCGCAGGCGGUGAUGUAAGACAGUUGUGAAAUCCCCGGGCUCAACCUGGGAACUGCAUCUGUGACUGCAUAGCUAGAGUACGGUAGAGGGGGGAUGGAAUUCCGCGUGUAGCAGUGAAAUGCGUAGAUAUGCGGAGGAACACCGAUGGCGAAGGCAGCCUCCUGGGCCAACACUGACGCUCAUGCACGAAAGCGUGGGGAGCAAACAGG
rnacentral:rRNA from 1 species